rnacentral:rRNA from 1 species
CCUACGGGUGGCAGCAGUGGGGAAUAUUGCACAAUGGGGGAAACCCUGAUGCAGCGAAGCAGCGUGAGGGAAGAAGUAUCUCGGUACGUAAAGCUCUAUCAGCAGGGAAGAAAAUGACGGUACCUGACUAAGAAGCCCCGUCUAACUACGUGCCAGCAGCCGCGGUAAUACGUAGGCGGCAAGCGUUAUCCGGAUUUACUGGGUGUAAAGGGGGCGUAGACGGCAGCACAGGUCUGGAGUGAAAUCCCGGGGCUUAACCCCGGAACUGCAUUUGAAACUGUGCGGCUGGAGUGCAGGAGGGGUAAGCGGAAUUCCUAGUGUAGCGGUGAAAUGCGUAGAUAUUACGAGGAACACCGGUGGCGAAGGCAGCCUGCUGGACUGUAACUGACGUUGAGGCUCGAAAGCGUGGGUAGCAAACAGGAUUAGAUACCCGGGUAGUC